CCUACGGGUGGCAGCAGUAGGGAAUUUUCGUCAAUGGGCGCAAGCCUGAACGAGCAAUGCCACGUGAACGAGGAAGGUCUUCGGAUCGUAAAGUUCUGUUGAAGGGGGAAAAGAGCGGAGAGAGGAAAUGGUCUCCGAUUGAUAUUACCCUUCGAGGAAGUCACGGCUAACUACGUGCCAGCAGCCGCGGUAAUACGUAGGUGGGGUGCGUUAUCCGGAAUGGUUGGGCGUAAAGGGUGCGUAGGCGGCCUGCUAAGUCUGGAGUGAAAGGUACCGGCUCAACCGGUACAGGCUCUGGAAACUGGCGGGUUAGAGAGCAGAGGAGGGCGGUGGAACUCCAUGUGUAGCGGUAAAAUGCGUAGAUAUAUGGAAGAACACCAGUGGCGAAGGCGGCCGCCUGGCCGGUUGACUGACGCUGAGGCACGAAAGCGUGGGGAGCAAAUAGGAUUAGAUACCCGAGUAGUC
rnacentral:rRNA from 1 species